GCCAGCAGCAUACCACCCUGCAUCCCACUGCUGGCUUGCCUCUGAAGCUAAGCAGGGUUGGUCCUGGAUGGAAGACCAGAUGCUGCUGGAA
rnacentral:rRNA from 1 species